rnacentral:rRNA from 1 species
KYYUUUUKKUWAAAAWUUWAAGUCGGGCCUGCCCMCUGAAAUUUUAAAUGGCCGUGGUAUUUUGACCGUGCUAAGGUAGCAUAAUCAUUAGUUUUUUAAUUGAAAGCUGGAAUGAAGGGUUUGAUAAAAAAAUAACUGUCUCUAUUUAAUUUUAUUAGAAUUUUAUUUUUAAGUUAAAAAGCUUAAUUUUGAUUAAAAGACGAGAAGACCCUAUAGAGUUUAAUAUUAAAAGAAUAAUUUUUAUUUUAGGAUUAAUUUAGAAUUUUUUUGUAAAUAUUUAGUUGGGGUGAUUGAAAAAUUUAAUAAACUUUUUUUUUUAUUUAACCAUUAAUUUAUGAAUUUUUGAUCCAAAAUUAAUUUGAUUAUAAGAUAUAAUUACCUUAGGGAUAACAGCGUAAUUUUUUUAUAGAGUUCAAAUUAAAAAAAAAGAUUGCGACCUCGAUGUUGGAUUAAAAUUUAAUUUUGGUGUAGGAGCUAGAAUUUUAGGKCUKUYSGACCYUUWAARKUUUWMM